CUGCGUUGCUUCUCGCUUGCCUUUCCUACUCGUAUGUGCAUGUGGUCACCACGGCGUUCUUAGUCGCGAGUGAACUAGACUGUGUGGUGAUCGAUAGCCAUCUUCGGAGACACACAAGCGUGCAGUGCCAAAAACACACAAACACACAGCGACGGGCACCCCGCGCACACGCGCGCGAGUCUCGCUCUGCUUCUUUUCAUAUAUUCCACCCACACGCAUACGCACACCCGAUAAAGAAGGAUGGAUCAAACGAAGCUGUUUCAGGACUUUGCCUGCUCCGUGCGGUGCGAGAGCAAAAAUACGGUUGUGUUUGUCGCUUGUCCGAAGGGCGGCCGCUACGGCGAUGUGCGUAAGACCUUGGCGGGUUUGCUGCAGCGUCCUUUCAACUCGGUGCACGUGGCCUCACCGGCCGGCGACUACGCCGUGCCCUUAGAUGAUGAUCAGGUAGUAGAGCCGGCUGAGAAUGAGGUGAUCGUCCCUGCCCGCAUUUUAAAAGCGACGGAGCAGGGCGGGUGGGAGUUUGAGUGACGAGGCUCAGCCGGGUGGGGCAAACACGCGCGAGCAGAGGAGAAUGCACAGAACUCCCCUCUCCCCUCCUCUCCCCCCCCCGAACGCCGCCGCCGCCAGUUGCGCGUAUGGGGACUCUAUGUAACCAUCUCGGGGGUGAGGGUUAGGCCUUGCCUAGUCAUGCUGUUCAAGCGUGUUAGUCAUCUUAUGAAUUUCCCGGUGUGAACGUGCGCGUGCGCGUGCUUGCACGCAGCACACCCUUGUCUUCUACGCCGACCCCGGAGGCGCAUCCUUGUGACUGCCUAAUCCACCGUCGCUGUCCUGCUACAUGUUGGGUGCCACUGGUCGAAGUUGUCUUUCUCUCUCUGUUUCAUGAACGAAACCGGAGAGGUGAGGGAGAGACCAUCACAGCAGCCGUCUUGCUGUCACUCUUGCAUAAGUGGGAAAAGGGAGGGGGAACGCGACGGAGUACGUGCGAGUCGAUCUCUUCUGUGUCUACGGUAGCGUUGUCCUUGCCGGCGGAGGGGCACGUCUCUGUAGCCAAGCAAAGCCCUGCCCCUCCCCCCAUUGCACACAACGGAGAGUAUUCGCUAGGGGUGGGGAACUCGGGUGGCGGCCGCCCUCGCGACAGUUUUACACUCGCUAACUUCUGUGAUGCUCGCCUGCAGAGGUCAUGCACAACUGCGACUUGGAGAGGAGUGAGGCGGCUACCUUUUAACUGCCCCUCCCCUGCCUCUCUCUUGCUUUUCCCCAUUCGCUGUCAUCCACGUUGCUGCCCAUCUCGAUGCUCACCUGUCCCUCCUCUCUCCCUCUCCGACAUUGUGAUUCGACAACGCGCUCUCACACGAUCACCGCAUGUGCUUAUGGGAAUAUAUAAAUAUAG
rnacentral:misc_RNA from 1 species